rnacentral:lncRNA from 1 species
UCUCUCUCUCUCUCUCUCUCUCUCUCUCUCUCACAUCGAGUUCUAAAAUCAUCAAGUUUUGAUAUCGGUUCGUGCAACAGUAACGAAGAGGGGAUGUAUUCAACGAUUAUGGAUUUGUGUUUUUUCUGGGUUUGUUUUUGGAGAUUUCACCCUAGCAAUUCAAAGUCAUGAAUGAUUUCAGGUUUGUUUUAGAGAUUUCUAGGUUUUUUGUGUUUUUUCUAGUUCGUCUUUUGGGAAUUGAAAAUGCUAGUGGGAGGUGAAGGUGAAGGGAGAUCGAUUAGAAGCUUGGAAUGAGAUAAACAAGAGAUGGAAAAGAGAUUAAAGGUCAACUAAUCAGGUAUUUCAUCUCAAGAAAAAACCCAGAAAAAAAUUGAUUUCUAUUGUUGGUGUAAUGGUGCCCGCCAAGUGUUCGAUCAUUUGUAUGUUCAGUUUUUUCUGAAGAUCAUGGUGAAUCAUAUGUGAAGUUUUGAACCAUUCAAUUGAUUGACCGGUGGAAUCUUGUGUAUUUCCAGACAUACAGAACUAAAGAGUUUUUCUUUGCAAUAGAUUAUUUGCUUCAGAGAUUUUUUUGGUGGAAUCUUGUGUAUUUCCGGUGGAGUCAGUCAUUUUCCGGUGACUAAACACAAGAAGGGAGUGGAGGGGACGGGAGGAGGGUUCACUGGUGUGGGUUCUUGAAUCAAGAAAACAUAUACUUAAUUAAUAUAUUUUUUUUUCUAUUUAAUUAAUAUUUUUUAAUUAAUUUAUAAUUUAAAAAAGAUAAAAGAAAUCAGGAAGGGUAAAUUAGUCUUUUUAGAACCGACAGGACUAAGCGUGAAACAAAAAUAUAAAGUAGGGAUGAUCCGAGUUAAAAAAAGUUGUUAGAGACCAAACAUACAUAUUACCCUAAGCCACAAUGACCAUCCGUGUAAUUUACCCUUGUUCAAAAAUACUCAAGUCUUCCGUUGCUAAACUUGUAUUUUUUAAACUAAUUUUUGAAUAAAACCCAAAGACUGGUAUCAGAGCCAUCCUUUCAAAUUUAGUUAGAUUUUAUGAUUUUUGGAAAUCCUAGUUUUUAGAAAAGAUUGAUAACUUGUUUUUGUAAAAAAAAAAAAGAUCAUACAUAUUUUCUAUGACAACUUUAUAAUUGUUAUUUUUAUGAUAAAAGUUUUCAUAUAUAUUUUUUUUAUUUAAAGUUGUCUUAGAAAAACAAAGGUUGUUUAAUGUGUAUGUUGAUAUGUAUGAUGUGCAUAAAUUAGUCAAUGACCAUUGUGUUGUUAAGUUUGUUGUUUUGUUGAAAAAAUGUUGUAAUAAUUUAUUUAUUCAUAUGCGUGUAAUAUAUUAAAUAUAAUAGUUUUCUUGGUUUAUUUUUUACGUAAUAGAUUUGUUUUUAUAAAUAAUUUAUUUGUACAAAAAUGUAAUAAGAAAUGAAGAUGAAGCCAUUUUUUAAAGACAAAAGGGUAGUUUUCGCAAGUAAUAAG